rnacentral:tRNA from 3 species
GCCCCCGUCGGUUAACAGGAUAAACCACGGACCUCCUAAGUCCGCACUGCAGGUUCGAGUCCUGCCGGGGGCGCCA